AAAUGAAUUGACGGGGGCCCGCACAAGCGGAGGAACAUGUGGUUUAAUUCGAUGAUACGCGAGGAACCUUACCCGGGCUCGAACGGCUGUUGAAUAUGGAUGAAAGUCUAUAGUCGCAAGACAACAGUCGAGGUGCUGCAUGGUUGUCGUCAGCUCGUGCCGUGAGGUGUCGGCUUAAGUGCCAUAACGAGCGCAACCCUUACCGUUAGUUACCAUCAAGUCAAGUUGGGGACUCUAACGGGACUGCCACCGUAAGGUGCGAGGAAGGUGGGGAUGACGUCAAAUCAGCACGGCCCUUACGUCCGGGGCUACACACGUGUUACAAUGGGGGGCACAAAGGGCCGCUACCACGCGAGUGGAUGCUAAUCUUUAAAACCCCUCCCAGUUCGGAUUGGAGUCUGCAACCCGACUCCAUGAAGCUGGAUUCGCUAGUAAUCGCGCAUCAGCCAUGGCGCGGUGAAUACGUUCCCGGGCCUUGUACACACCGCCCGU
rnacentral:rRNA from 1 species